rnacentral:sRNA from 1 species
AGAGUGACCUCAGUUCUGUGACUGAUGAAGUAUUUCUGGAAGCCCAGAUUCAGAAUAUGACAACCUCACCUAUGUUUAUGGAGAAAGUUUCAUUGGAGCCAUCUAUUAUGUACAAUGUAACAGAAUUAAAUUCAGUCAGCCAAGCUGGAGAAAGUGUGUCUACGUUUGGGUCAAGAGCAUAUUUGCAACCAAUGGAUACACGCCAGUACUUAUACUGCCUAAAGCCAAAGAAGGAAUUUGCAGAAAAAGCAGGCAUAAUUAAGGGAGUAACAGUAAUUGGAAAAUUGGAUAUAGUAUGGAAAACAAAUCUAGGUGAAAGGGGAAGGUUACAGACCAGCCAACUUCAAAGAAUGGUGAGUCUGGAAAAAACUUCACUGGGGUUUUGGUGUGUGAGAGACAGGUAGUUAGAACAACUUAAUUUUUUCUACAUCCAGCAGUAAAAAAUUGGAGCACUAUAAAAGGCAUUAAUACUACUGGAGAAGAAAAGAUUAAUAGUUUCACUGAUAGGUAGGUAGAAGACUGGUGUUGCCGUGAAUGAAAAAU